UACGUAGGGAGCAAGCGUUGUCCGGAAUCAUUGGGCGUAAAGCGCGCGUAGGCGGCCCUGUAAGUCCGUUGUGAAAGUCAAAGGCUCAACCUUUGAAAGCUGAUGGAUACUGCAGGGCUAGAGUCCGGAAGAGGCGAGUGGAAUUCCUGGUGUAGCGGUGGAAUGCGCAGAUAUCAGGAGGAACACCAAUAGCGAAGGCAGCUCGCUGGGACGGUACUGACGCUAAGGCGCGAAAGCGUGGGGAGCAAACAGG
rnacentral:rRNA from 1 species